rnacentral:tRNA from 1 species
UCCCUGGUAGCCUAGUGGUAAAGAAUAUGCUUGCUAUGCAGGAGACCCGGGUUCGAUUCCUGGGUUGGGAG